rnacentral:rRNA from 1 species
UCUGGUUGAUCCUGCCAGUAGUCAUAUGCUUGUCUCAAAGAUUAAGCCAUGCGUGUCUAAGUAUAAAUAGUAUACAGUGAAACUGCGAAUGGCUCAUUAGAACAGUUAUAGUUUAUUUGAUAAUUGACAAUUACAUGGAUAACCGUGGUAAUUCUAGAGCUAAUACAUGCUUAAACGCCCGACUUUAUGGAAGGGUGGUAUUUAUUAGACUGAAGCCAAUAUUCCUUGUGUCUAUUGCGGUGAUUCAUAAUAACUGAUCGAAUCUCUUUUUGAGAUAAAUCAUUCAAGUUUCUGCCCUAUCAGCUUUCGAUGGUAGUGUAUUGGACUACCAUGGCAGUAACGGGUAACGAAGAAUUAGGGUUCGAUUUCGGAGAGGGAGCAUGAGAAACGGCUACCACAUCUAAGGAAGGCAGCAGGCGCGUAAAUUUCCCAAUCCUGACUCAGGGAGGUAGUGACAAGAAAUAGCAAACCGGGAACCUCAUGGUUUCACGGUAUUGCAAUGAGAACAAUUUAAAACCCUUAGCGAGAAUCAAGUGGAGGACAAGUCUGGUGCCAGCACCCGCGGUAAUUCCAGCUCCACUAGCGUAUAUUAAAGUUGUUGCAGUUAAAAAGCUCGUAGUUGAACCUCUGUCUGGGGCUAGUUUUGGCUUUGGUCAGGCUAGUUCUAGGCAUCCGCCUACAAGACUUAGAGGGCAUUCAGUUGUUCACUAGGAGGAGUAGGCAUUUUACUUUGAAAAAAUUAGAGUGUUUAAGGCAGGCAAUCGCCCGCAUAUAUUAGCAUGGAAUAAUAGAAUAGGACACUUUUCCAUUUCGUUGGUUAUUGGAAUCGUGUAAUGAUUAAUAGGGACAGUUGUGGGCAUUUGUAUUUAAUUGUCAGAGGUGAAAUUCUUGGAUUUAUUAAAGACAAACUAACGCGAAAGCAUUUGCCAAGGAUGUUUUCAUUAAUCAAGAACGAAAGUUAGGGGAUCAAAGACGAUCAGAUACCGUCCUAGUCUUAACUAUAAACUAUUCCGACUCAAUGUUUGACUGGCUUAUAUAACCAGUUGAGCGUUGUAUGAGAAAUCAAAGUCUUUAGGUUCUGGGGGGAGUAUGGUUGCAAAGCUGAAACUUAAAGGAAUUGACGGAAGAGCACAACCAGGAGUGGAUUCUGCGGCUUAAUUUGACUCAACACGGGGAAACUUACCAGGUUAAAACAAUAGUGGGAUUGACAGUUUGAGAGCGCUUUCUUGAUUGGUUGGGUGGUGGUGCAUGGCCGUUCUUAGUUGGUGGAGUGAUUUGUCUGCUUAAUUGCGUUAACGAACGAGACCUUAACCUGCUUACUAGACUGGCGAUCAUCAAU